CACUUAUUCAAUAUGUAAAUUGUGUGUGUGUGUGUGUGUGUGUGUGUGUGUGUGUGUGUGUGUGUGUGUGUGUGUGUGUGUGUGUGUGUGUGUGUGUGUGUGUGUGUCAAUUUACGCAACCCCGAGUUGCCCCACGAGGACUUCGCAGCAAAUGAAGUACAAAAAUAUAGUUUAAACAGCAAAUCGAAAAAAUGCAGAGGCCCGGCAGACUGGAGGGGGUCCACCACCUGCAGCCCUCACAGAGGCUGAGGAGAUGGCCCUCAGCCAACAGAGUAUGCGUCCUGUGGCUGAGGGCAUCCCUGGGGGGAGCUCCUCUGAUCCCCCCCACCCCCCAGGAUAGAAGUGCCUUUACAGUAUAAGAGUUACUGAUGGCGUCAUCGCCCUACUUGAACCAGAUGCCCUCACCAACCUCCAUGCAAUUGUAACAAUUCAAAAGAUGCAAAAGGAUGC